AUUGAACGCUGGCGGCAUGCCUUACACAUGCAAGUCGAACGGCAGCGGGCCUUCGGGUGCCGGCGAGUGGCGAACGGGUGAGUAAUGCAUCGGAACGUGCCAUUGAGUGGGGGAUAACGUAGCGAAAGUUACGCUAAUACCGCAUAUUCUGUGAGCAGGAAAGCAGGGGGACCGCAAGGCCUUGCGCUCUUUGAGCGGCCGAUGUCAGAUUAGCUAGUUGGUGAGGUAAAGGCUUACCAAGGCGACGAUCUGUAGCGGGUCUGAGAGGAUGAUCGCCACACUGGAACUGAGACACGGUCCAGACUCCUACGGGAGGCAGCAGUGGGGAAUUUUGGGACAAUGGGCGCAAGCCUGAUCCAGCCAUGCCGCGUGAGUGAAGAAGGCCUUCGGGUU
rnacentral:rRNA from 1 species